AUGGGUACCCGGGGCAGGCGGUUGACCCUUGCGCCACCGCUGGCCUCUGCCGGGCCGGCGACGUCUCCGGCGUCGGGAAGCUCGUCUGGCUCAAGAUUCUCAUGCCUGAGAUCGGACGUUGGCUCCUCCGACGAGGAGGAUGCGCCGGCUGUUGGCGUGCAGCUGGCCCUUGAGGUGCUUGGGGAGGAUGUUGGUGGCGGGGAGUGGAACACGGUGUCUCGCCGGAAGAAGAAAACUGAGGCGGAGCUGGUCCAGGAGUUCUGGGACGAUGCGGGAUUCCCGACGCCAGCAUCUCGUUUCUGGGAACACCGGUCGCCGUCGUCGCUAGGGUCGGGUGUGCCAUCUUGCAGGGAGCAGGAGAGGAUCGCCGAUGCGGAGGGCUCGGAGCUGGUUGGUUCGGCGUCGCUGUCGAGAUCGGCGGCCCCGGUGCUCUCCGGCCCGAAACCUGUGUCCCCACCGUCCGGGCUGAGAGUCGCCCGGCCGCUACGUUUGGGGCCUUGGCGUGGACCCCUGCCGCCGCGCCGGGUGACGCCCCCGCCGGUGCUGGGACAGUUCAUUGACGCGGCCAGGCAGAACCCCUCCGCGGCAAGCCGGCAAUGCCCGCCGGCGUCGGAUGCUUCGCCGAGAUCUGACGUCGUUCGGGCGCCGGGUCCGGUGGCGAGAUCGCAGGGAAUUCAAACUCAACUGUCCUUGGGCUUUGGGCCCAUGCAUGCACAAAAGGACGCGGGCCAAGAUGUAUUUUCUUGGGCCUUUUUGAGGACGCGCAUGAAAGCAAUCUGGCCAGGUUUUGGUAACCAUCAGGCCGCGAUCGCAGCAGUUCCUUUCAUCGCGUCGUCCUCGUCCUCGUAUCCUGACGCAGAUCCUUCGAUCGCCGCCAAGCCUCUGCACACCUCACGGACGCCGUCUCCAACUCCGGCAUCACCUCCCUGCGCCGGGGUCGCCCGCUCCUACGCGGCGGUCGCCGCGACUUUUCAGCGCCCCAUGGCGGGCGUUCCUCCGACAGCACCUGGUGCCGCUGCCACGGGAGGGCCAAACCCUCGCCCACCACCUGCCAUUGGGCCGACUCCCGCUCCUUCACGUCCUCCGGCGCAGGCGUCGGGCUACUCCGGUCCACCACAUCAGCAGCAUGGACUGGCACCGGUCUACAACUAUGCUCCAUCAAUGCAGCAGCCCCCUGUUUACGUCCAAGGAGGGCAGUAUGUCUCGCCGUAUGGUACGGUCGUUGCAGGAGGGCAACAUCCCAUGUACGGGGUUCCGUCGACCGGGGUGUCCGCCCCUCCGCAGUUCCAUCCAGGCGGGGCGAUGCCUCAGCCGGUUCAAAAACGCAAAAAGAAGAAUAAGCCGCAGCAGCAGCAGUUUGCGGGUGGAGCUUUGCAACCCGGUAUUCAACACACUCCGAAACACAUGCCGGUUCAGCAACAAUUUCAACAGCAGCACAUGCAGUCAUAUCAGCAUGGGCAAUACCAGCAUCCUCAGAUGUCAAACGGUCCUGCUAUUGUUGAUACCCCACCAUUGGCGGCUCCAGUGUCUGAUGUGCAGGUCGAUACGGCGCCCAAGUCCAAGGCUAAGAAAGGGGUUCGUUGCUGGAAAUGUGCGGUUAAUACGCACGCAGUGAAGGAUUGCACUGUGCAACAUUACUGUUAUAUUUGUGACAAAAUCGCUCAUCCAACGUUGCAGUGUCCUAUUCUCAAACUCCCUAGGCCCAGUGCUUUUGUUUCGGGAGUUGGUGCUGAGGAGACGUACUUUGUCCAGUUGCCUGAUUGCGUGGUGAAAGAUCAUUUAGCACCGACACAGUCUCCGAUAGCCCGAGUUCAGGUUACUGGUUUGAUGGUACCGGCUAGUGUUGUCGAGAGCCAGAUUGCUAGGAGAUGUCCGGUACAUGAUCAAUGGAAGUGGGAGGCUAUUCAACACCGGUCUGAUGGUUACCUUGUUAGCUUUCCGUCUUUCGAGGACUUGGACAGGGUGGAUGGUAUUUAG
rnacentral:rRNA from 1 species